rnacentral:tRNA from 1 species
AAGAUUAAUUUUAUAGACUUCUAAUCUAUCGUUAAUGAUAAUUCAUUUAAUCUUU